CCCGUAAGGCUAGGGGGCCAGAUAAAGCAUGAGGCUUUACUAACCAACGAGCUAAUUUAUCAAACAAGAAGCGAAAAUAGCUAGCAAACGAGCUAGGUGCAGUAACAGGCAAGAUUCAAAUUUGUCUGACGAUUCUUCAUCGCUGAGGCAUAAACAUCAAAGUGAUGUCCAGAGCAAAGAAGAUAUUGAAUUGCAAGAAAUUUCUGUGAAAAAAAUUAGAUUGUCUAGGACAAUAAUUACAAUAAAAUGUGGCAAAAUUACCUUGUCUAAGGUAGGUAACGACAUUAGAAUAUGGCAAAAUUGUGCAAAAUGACAUUGUCUAAGGUAAUGACAGUAAAAUAUGGAAAAAU
rnacentral:lncRNA from 1 species